CUAAAUAGCUACAACAGAUGUUUCAUCAGAAGACUGGUUGGGUGACCGGUCUGAGCGUUUAGUCUACCUCCAAGUCAAUUUUAGUCGACCUAGUAUAAGCAAGCAAGCUAGCUUUCUGUGUAACUAUGCGAGCUAACGUAAUUCAGCCCACAGCGAACCUUAAGUUAGCUGGAUAUUUGUUUUUCUGUUCUCUACAUCGAGUACAUAGCUAGCUACCUAGUUAAAUAUCUAGAUAUAUGAUGUUAGCCUUAGGUAGAUACAUGCUCGCUAGUUAACGUUAGCCACGAUAGCCUUAACUACAUAACUACGUUUUAAAUUGGUAGCUUGUCUGUUACAUAGGUGCCUUACGCACACUGGCCUUGCUCAUUACAGUAAAAUAAGCAAUAUUAUUUUCGACGGUAGCUACCAAACAACAGGUUAUUCAACAAUCAGCAAUGUAAGCUUGUUAGCUGGUUUAUUCUAGAUUUGCUUUGCACGUUGGGCAUGGUCAGCUGCUCGGGCGCACUAUCCAGAAUCACCACACGGGGGCACUCCGUGCUCAGUAGUGAACCUGCGAAUUCAGCACCAACGGAGGCUUCUCAGCCGACCCAAACUCACUCCUGCUCCACCCCGGGACAGGUGUCAGUGGGGUGAAGGGAGAGCACCAGGGCGACGGCCCCGUGUCAGUCUAAUUUAAUAAGACCCACCCAGAGCCGCAUCCACCGAGCCUCUGGGUCUGACCUCCACAACGACGAGGAGUGCAAAGAGAUGCAACUGACCACACACGGAAGAGGUGUGAAAGGGUGUCUCCGUCUUAAACAAUGCCGCCUAACAAUGCAACCGAAACUCUUGUUCUGAAUGUUUUUGGGUGGCUUGUAACCCUAUUUUUUAAAUAUUGAAUAAACAUGUUCUGAUUUAA